CAAGGGGUAUACCUUAGUACGGCGAGUGAGCGGUAAAAGCUCAAAUUUGAAAUCUGGUACUUUCAGUGCCCGAGUUGUAAUUUGUAGAAUUUGUCUUUGAUUAGGUCCUUGUCUAUGUUCCUUGGAACAGGACGUCAUAGAGGGUGAGAAUCCCGUUUGGCGAGGAUACCUUUUCUCUGUAAGACUUUUUCGAAGAGUCGAGUUGUUUGGGAAUGCAGCUCAAAGUGGGUGGUAAAUUCCAUCUAAAGCUAAAUAUUGGCGAGAGACCGAUAGCGAACAAGUACAGUGAUGGAAAGAUGAAAAGAACUUUGAAAAGAGAGUGAAAAAGUACGUGAAAUUGUUGAAAGGGAAGGGCAUUUGAUCAGACAUGGUGUUUUUUGCAUGCACUCGCCUCUCGUGGGCUUGGGCCUCUCAAAAAUUUCACUGGGCCAACAUCAAUUCUGGCAGCAGGAUAAAUCAUUAAGAAUGUAGCUACUUCGGUAGUGUUAUAGCUUUUUGGAAUACUGUUAGCCGGGAUUGAGGACUGCGCUUCGGCAAGGAUGUUGGCAUAAUGGUUAAAUGCCGCCCGUCUUGAAACACGGGAC
rnacentral:rRNA from 1 species